rnacentral:rRNA from 1 species
UACAGAGGGUGCAAGCGUUGUUCGGAAUUAUUGGGCGUAAAGGGCGCGUAGGCGGUGCUGUAAGUCUGUAGUGAAAUCUCUGGGCUCAACUCAGAGUCUGCUAUAGAAACUGCAGUGCUGGAGUGUGGGAGAGGUGAGUGGAAUUCCCGGUGUAGCGGUGAAAUGCGUAGAUAUCAGGAGGAACACCAGCGGUGUAGACGGCUUUCUGGACCAUUGCUGACGCUGAGACACGAAAGCGUGGGUAGCAAACAGG